UACGUAGGGGGCAAGCGUUGUCCGGAUUUAUUGGGCGUAAAGAGCGUGUAGGCGGCCAUACAGGUCAGCUGUGAAAACUCGAGGCUCAACCUCGAGACGUCGGUUGAAACCGUUUGGCUAGAGUCCGGAAGAGGAGAGUGGAAUUCCCGGUGUAGCGGUGAAAUGCGUAGAUAUCGGAAGAACACAGUGGCGAAAGGCGACUUCAUCGAGACC
rnacentral:rRNA from 1 species